rnacentral:rRNA from 1 species
AGUGAACGCUGGCGGUAGGCCUAACACAUGCAAGUCGAACGGCAGCACAGUAAGAGCUUGCUCUUACGGGUGGCGAGUGGCGGACGGGUGAGGAAUACAUCGGAAUCUACUUUUUCGUGGGGGAUAACGUAGGGAAACUUACGCUAAUACCGCAUACGACCUACGGGUGAAAGCAGGGGAUCUUCGGACCUUGCGCGAUUGAAUGAGCCGAUGUCGGAUUAGCUAGUUGGCGGGGUAAAGGCCCACCAAGGCGACGAUCCGUAGCUGGUCUGAGAGGAUGAUCACCCACAUGGGAACGAAGACCCGGUCCAACCUCCUCGGGGGGGCAGCAGGGGGGAAUUUGGAAAAAGGGGCGCAACCUUGACCCAGCCAUCCCGGGGGGGUAAAAAAGGCUUUGGGUUUGUAAGCCCUUUUUGUGGGAAAAAAAAACAAGCAGGUUAAUCCCCCCCUUUCCUGACGGUACCAAAAAAAAAACCCCCGGCAAACUUGGUC